AGUUGCCCGAAGCCCCUGGGUCUGGCGUCCGCCUCCCAGGGCAGCCGUACCGGAGCCGACUGAGUAGGUUUCUCCGAGUGUGACGCUUCCUCCCCCAGAGCCUGGCCCGAGGCGUUGGCCCAGUAGUGGCUUCUAAGGCCAAAUCGGGAAGAAGAGCAAGGACCAUUUGGACAAAAACUAGCACCUGAACUUCAUUUGCAGAGAGACACCCAGGAGAGGAACAUUCAGAAAACAUGAGGAAGAGACUUUCAAGAUCACAAAUACGUCACCUUAUAGCUUUAUGCUGGAUCCUACAGUGCCAGAGGUGCAGGCAAACAUGCAUCGACAUGGCCAUUCCAGCUCCAGUCUGACAGUCACCACCUGCUCAACUGCACUCCUCACUUCCAGAAGACAAAGACUUUUCCUUCAAAUUACUCUCCUAAACCCACAGUGUUCCCGUAAGGUGUUCCCUGAGAAAGAGGAAACACUUCAGAAGAACAGAUAAAAUCAAGCACAUAGGCAUCCCGCACAUGUCUAUUUGAAAGUUGCAGACUUAAAAAAAAAAAAAAAUCUUGGGUCCAAAGGUAACCUAUUUGAAACUGACCACUGAGAGUUGGCCUCCUGUCUAAAGGUUUAGCUAUAAGUAAACAACCUUAAAAAAAAUAUUUAAAGACCUUGUUUUUGAUCAGACCGUUCAAAGAAGGACUCUGUAGGUGAAAGUUCAUGAGGCUGAAACAAUGGAAACUUCUCAGAGUAGAAGGAGGACUCCCCUACCAGUCGGAGCUGGCGCCCCAGCGCACCUUGGCUGGUUGCCUUCAUGGGAGGGUGUGCAGG